rnacentral:rRNA from 1 species
GACGAACGCUGGCGGCGUGCUUAACACAUGCAAGUCGAACGGAAAGGCCCUGCUUUUGUGGCGUGCUCGAGUGGCGAACGGGUGAGUAACACGUGAGUAACCUUCCCUUGACUUUGGGAUAACUUCAGGAAACUGGGGUAACUACCGGAUAGCAGCUCCUGCUGCAUGGUGGGGGUUGGAUAGUUUCGGCGGUUGGGGAUGGACUCGCGGCUUAUCGGCUGGUUGGUGGGGUAGUGGCUUACCAAGGCUUUGCCGGGUGGCCGGCCUGAGAGGGUGACCGGCCACAUUGGGCCUGAGAUACGGCCCAGACUCCUACGGGAGGCAGCAGUGGGGAAUAUUGCACAAUGGGCGGAGGCCUGAUGCAGCAACGCGGCGUGCGGGAUGACGGCCUUCGGGUUGUAAACCGCUUUCGCCUGUGACGAAGCGUGAGUGACGGUAAUGGGUAAAGAAGCACCGGCUAACUACGUG